GUUUGAAACAGGGUCUGAACACUCUGAAGCAGUGAUGAAACCCACUAUGCUACAGCAUAUCUGAGCAUUGUAGACGGUGAUCAUGGUGGAGCUCAAUGUCCCAUGGGAGUACAGAAUGGAGACAACCUUUCAAAGGAACAGGCUGAGCAGGCUCAGUUCCAGGCUGGAGUGCUGAGAAGCCUCCCAGAGAGGGCAUUUGACGUCAUCCCUUGAAGUCUAACUGUGACAAAACCCUGGGUGUUCCGAAAGGAGGUGUCAUUAUUGGCUUAAACGACCUGUUGGACGGAGCUCUGCUAGCAUCAACUAAAGCAAUUUAUUUGUUUUCCCACAUACAGGACAUACACCAAAGAGGGUCUUUUGAUUUUUUGUUUGUUUUGCCUUGUUCUCAGACAAUGAAAGGGACAACCCAGUUGGUGCAACAAAAUUUCCUCUGUUUCAGAACUGUAAUUUCUGCACCUAACCAUACUAUCUAUCUAUCUAUCUAUCUAUCUAUCUAUCUAUCUAUCUAUCUAUCUAUCUAUCUAUCUAUCUAUCUAUCUAUCUAUCUAUCUCUGUCUGUCUGUCUGUUUGUUUUUUUUCGUUUAUAAAUUAGUAUUACAGCCCACCAUGUACCCAUCUGAGAUUUAUUUUCCCCAGCUGAGGCUGCUGGCUGGAGUUUUACUCUCCUUCUUUGUCAACUGGCCAUAGCUCAACUAUACUUUUAACAGACUUCAAUAUACAUAAACAAUGCUGAGUAUAGCUUAUUGUAUUUUUAGCAAGUUGCCUGCCCUAGUGGCUAAAUAGUUGGUUUUAAAUCUCCAAGGAUGCAACUUAACUUGCCAUUUUGUGAUUUAAGAGUAAGUCAUUGCAUCUCGUUGGGCUCAGAUCUUGGAAAAACUAAAUUAUGAUGAUGUUUAGAAUGGAAAUCACAGUAAAUCAAUUGUUCAGUCCAUUUUCUUUAUUUUUAUUACAGGGUUACAGGAAGCUAUUGUAGAACCUACCCGAGAAAUGGGAACAAUCCUGAAACCAAUCCCAGAUGGCACACAAAUGAUUUUACAGGGCACAUUCACUAUCUCAUAUUGGGCUAAUUUAAAUUACCGAUUAACUUAACCUGUACCAAAGACCACUUAGAGAAAACCGACACAGAGUCAGGGAGAACGUGAAAACUGCAUAUAGGCAGACAGUAUAAACAGAACUCAAACUUCUUAAGUUGUAAAGUAGAAUCUCUACCCAUUGCACCAGCUAUCAAUGGCGCCAUGUAAAAGAAGGCCAAAUUAUUUUGAUUUGUGCCAAUUCGUGUUAAUUUUAGUCUGUUAAUUCAUUAAUCCACUUUUAGACCUUGAAUAGUCCUCCAUUAUUGGAUACAAUUUCCUUUUAAAAACAUUACCAACCAUCUCAAGUUUCUUGCAAAACAAUACCUUUUUUUGCCCACUAGGGGUCCAUGUAGGACAUUUAAAUAAGCAAUGAUGUUUGAAAUGAUACUGAUGAUGGUCUACUGUACUGAGAAAGGAUGAGGAACAUGGAAGUAGAACAUCACCUCUUAUUAAAAACAGAUCUUUAGUUAAUUAAAUUACAAGAUAAUAUGUUCCAAAAAUAAAUUGUUGCAAUCAUUUCUAAAAAAAGUCAUGCAAUUUCUUUUGUUUUGAUUUUUUUCAAGCAUAUUUAAUGCCAACACAACCCUGAAUUGAAUUAAAUGAGUUCAGAGAAUUUUCUAAGUGGUUGGAUUGAUUUUUAAUAUAAUAAUUUUCAACUGUGUUCGAAAAGAUGGCUACUGCAGGGUGCACUUAACAGAUAUUAAUUUUGCACCAAACGCAACAAUAUAAAAAAGUCAAAACACGUUGUGUCCUGGACACUCAUCAGAUUGCUCAGUCAAGGCAUAGCUCGUGUUGGUAAAAGAUGGUAUUUCAGACUAAUGUCAAAGGGUCAAAGUUAAUGUUACUUCAUGUGUGAAAAAACAUCUGUUGAAUUCCCAACAGUGAGAUAUGGAGGGUCUCAAUAUUGAUUACGUUUUUCAGUACAGAUUGUUUAACUUAUCUGAACUGAUGGGAAAGUAAGAGCCUCUGGCUGAUCCUGCCAAACUCAAAUUUACUUUUGUUAAGAUAAGCCUCUUCUUUCCAUGGAGACAUGAUGUAAACAGUGCAUCCCUCAAAGCAGGGGUCUCAAACUUAGUCCCUGGAGCCCCUCCGUUUUUAAGUUAGUGCUGUGUUUUAACUGAAAUUUGUUCUUAUUUAGACUUCUUGUUUUUCUGGUUCUGAGCUUAGCAGGUGCAUUUGUCUCAAUGUCAGCUCCCUGGAGUGUCUACUGAACUUCACUAUAGACACAAAAUUCUUCAGUGGGUUACGUGUAUCUUAGAGAAGAGUGCAAGGCAGGAACUGAGCCUGAAUGGGGUACCCAUCCAUUUCACUUUUACAAUGAGUUAAUUUAAAAUUAUAAACUAAUUCAACACAAAUUUGAUUUUAUUAUCUUUUCUUCUGUUUGUUUCUCGUUUUGUGCUAGUUGCUUUUUACCAGAAACCUGUCAAGUUUAAGUGUUUGAAGAUCAGGACUUUAUAAUGUAUAUGGGUAGUUCUGAGGAGGAUGGUCUUCUGCAGCUGCAUGACACUCACUGUAUUUGGCACCUCAUCAAGAUAUUUAUGGAGACCUAGCUUAGCAGUUCCAAGUGGUCUGACUAUGACUAGAAUCCCAUGAACCUUUGUGUUCCACAUGUGUGAAAGUUAAAUCUUAAGGUCUUUGUAUUUUACUGAGAUGUACAUGUCAUCUUGAAAAGCCAUAUUGAUUAGUAGAUACUACUACUACUUGCUACUUUCACAGAAAAAUGAUGUCUGGUUGGUUAGCUCCAAUUGUACAAUCACUGUUCACAACCAUAUCAUACAUAAUGAUGGUGUUCUCUGUCUUGACAACCUUUCAAGGCUGGUAAUCAAACCAAUAAUCAGGGAGGCAAAAAUCAUGGACCAUUGACCAGUGCAGGUAAUUAGCUAUCUGAUUGUGUCGAUGAGUGUACUCUUCUGCCACUAACACUGAGCAUCCAGAAACAACAUGACUAAUGAGCUCUUCCGAUUGCUGGCAUAUCCUGCACUUACUAUCAAGAGUUUCUUUCCAUCUUGAAAAUACUCUGUAGAUGAUAGCAUGUGUUAAGUACCUGAUCCUGACCUACCAUACGGAGACUCAAUGACGGACCCUUUAGCCCAGAGCCUCGCAACCAUCCAGGAGUCCAAGGGUCAGAUUCUUUUCAACAUGCAGUAUUUGUCUGAUGUCUGUCUGGAGUACUGACCUUGGAGUGGUUUCACACAAGAGAUUGUUGAUUUUUUUUGUCAAUUAGUAAAGCCUUCAUCCUAUUCUUGAUGGCCAUAAGACUAGAUGCUGUUGUCAGGGAAGUAUCAAGCGUGAGGUAUUGGCAUUUGAUACCUCCAAUUUCUUUGCCAAUUUUGACAAGAUAAUUUCACUUCUGUUUGUGUAUCUCAUUAAGAGUCUGGUAUUUUGUUGGCUUCUUCUUCUUAUUAUUAUUUUUUUGUUUUUGUCACGGACUUUUUUCCAAAUCAAUCUAACAGGACUGAGGUGUUUACAUACAUUUAAACAACUGCAGAUUAAAUGACUUGGUUGGCGGCAAAUAUUGAAUAGAAAGGGUAGAUAUGAACAAUGUGGUUUGGGUUCAACAAUCUAUCAAUUGUGCCACACUAAUUACAAUGUGUGAGGACAAGUGAAGAAGCACCUGUUGAGACACAAAGUCAGAGAACGUAGAAACUCCACACCACUAGUGAGUAGACUGGAAUCUAACCUCAGUCUCUUGGAGUUGGAAGCACCAACCCCUCUGCCACUGUGCCACCCCAUCUAUUAAAUACACCAACUAAAUUAAAAUGCAUAUAGAUUCAAAUUGUGGGAUUUAGCCAGAAUAGCUGUUGCCAUUAGUGUGGUGCUGAUAACAGGUCUUUUGCACAUUGGUUCACUGUUGUUAUGAUUUUCCCACUUUCAAUCAUCUGUCAAUGGCUCAUAGAUAGCCACCCCAACAGUUAAGCCAGUGGCACACCAUAAGACGCCUAGUCAGACGGGAUGUCACAUUCGACAAUGGCAGUUCCUGAUCUUGUCACCCAGAGAUGUCCAGUUACACACUAUAAACUGCCAGGUAUGACAAAUUACAUGACUCCAUGAUGACUUUCUAGCACAGUUUAAAAUUUUCAAAGUAUUGCAAGCUCACCCCUUUGUCUGAAAACUAAUAACACGCAGCCUGACAGAGCCUGGGCUUUAUGGAUGCUUUCCAAAUACAACUAAUUCAGCUGCAAUCUUUGCCCUUUUUUGUUCUAUUUUACCACGUGUGGACUAUGGCCGGCCAUUCAUCCCGGCCAAUACCCCAGGCCGCUAGGUGGAGCCCUCCCUGCAGCAUGGAGGUGCCCCGAAUGCCAGCAGGGAAUUAUAGACAAUGGAGUUUUAAUCCACAGCCCUUCUGGAUAACACGGGGGCCGCUAGAAGGCACUGCAGUGGAGGAGCAAUGAGAAAUUUUGCCUACAACACAAAAGUGCGUCCUAGUCACAUGGACAAAGGGAAUGACAUGGUUCCAGGUUGAAGAGGAGGAGUUUUCAUGUGACCCGGAAGUGCUAGGAAAUCACAUGGACUGAGGGAUUCAGAAGCACUUCCGGGUCAUGGACUAUAAAGGACUGAUACCAGACGACGAACUUUGCUGGGUGGCAGGGUGGCAACACGUUUGGGGCAGGAGGAUUGUUUAUUGAUUAUUGAU